rnacentral:rRNA from 1 species
ACAAGGGCAUACCUUAGUACGGCGAGUGAAGCGGUAAAAGCUCAAAUUUGAAAUCUGGUACUUUCAGUGCCCGAGUUGUAAUUUGUAGAAUUUGUCUUUGAUUAGGUCCUUGUCUAUGUUCCUUGGAACAGGACGUCAUAGAGGGUGAGAAUCCCGUUUGGCGAGGAUACCUUUUCUCUGUAAGACUUUUUCGAAGAGUCGAGUUGUUUGGGAAUGCAGCUCAAAGUGGGUGGUAAAUUCCAUCUAAAGCUAAAUAUUGGCGAGAGACCGAUAGCGAACAAGUACAGUGAUGGAAAGAUGAAAAGAACUUUGAAAAGAGAGUGAAAAAGUACGUGAAAUUGUUGAAAGGGAAGGGCAUUUGAUCAGACAUGGUGUUUUUUGCAUGCACUCGCCUCUCGUGGGCUUGGGCCUCUCAAAAAUUUCACUGGGCCAACAUCAAUUCUGGCAGCAGGAUAAAUCAUUAAGAAUGUAGCUACUUCGGUAGUGUUAUAGCUUUUUGGAAUACUGUUAGCCGGGAUUGAGGACUGCGCUUCGGCAAGGAUGUUGGCAUAAUGGUUAAAUGCCGCCCGUCUUGAACCAACGGGACCA